UACUAAGUUCGUAGAGGACACGCUGGCCC
rnacentral:sRNA from 1 species